UCACCUUAAUUAAUACAACUAGAAAAUAUCCCAUAGUCAUCAACUGAAAAUGUCCCUGACUGUACAUACACAGAGAAGGUAGGCAGCAGGUAGCCUAGUGGUAAGAGCGUAGGAACGGCAGGUAGCCUAGUGGUAAGAGCGUAGGAACGGCAGGUAGCCUAGUGGUAAGAGCGUAGGAACGGCAGGUAGCCUAGUGGUAAGAGCGUAGGAACGGCAGGUAGCCUAGUGGUAAGAGCGUAGGAACGGCAGGUAGCCUAGUGGUAAGAGCGUAGGAACGGCAGGUAGCCUAGUGGUAAGAGCGUAGGAACGGCAGGUAGCCUAGUGGUAAGAGCGUAGGAACGGCAGGUAGCCUAGUGGUAAGAGCGUAGGAACGGCAGGUAGCCUAGUGGUAAGAGCGUAGGAACGGCAGGUAGCCUAGUGGUAAGAGCGUAGGAACGGCAGGUAGCCUAGUGGUAAGAGCGUAGGAACGGCAGGUAGCCUAGUGGUAAGAGCGUAGGAACGGCAGGUAGCCUAGUGGUAAGAGCGUAGGAACGGCAGGUAGCCUAGUGGUAAGAGCGUAGGAACGGCAGGUAGCCUAGUGGUAAGAGCGUAGGAACGGCAGGUAGCCUAGUGGUAAGAGCGUAGGAACGGCAGGUAGCCUAGUGGUAAGAGCGUAGGAACGGCAGGUAGCCUAGUGGUAAGAGCGUAGGAACGGCAGGUAGCCUAGUGGUAAGAGCGUAGGGACGGCAGGUAGCCUAGUGGUAAGAGCGUAGGGACGGCAGGUAGCCUAGUGGUAAGAGUGUAGGGACGGCAGGUAGCCUAGUGGUAAGAGUGUAGGGACGGCAGGUAGCCUAGUGGUAAGAGCGUAGGAACGGCAGGUAGCCUAGUGGUAAGAGUGUAGGUAGGCGGCAGGUAGCCUAGUGGUAAGAGUGUAGGGACGGCAGGUAGCCUAGUGGUAAGAGCGUAGGGACGGCAGGUAGCCUAGUGGUAAGAGCGUAGGAACGGCAGGUAGCCUAGUGGUAAGAGUGUAGGGACGGCAGGUAGCCUAGUGGUAAGAGUGUAGGUAGGCGGCAGGUAGCCUAGUGGUAAGAGUGUAGGGACGGCAGGUAGCCUAGUGGUAAGAGUGUAGGGACGGCAGGUAGCCUAGUGGUAAGAGUGUAGGGACGGCAGGUAGCCUAGUGGUAAGAGUGUAGGGACGGCAGGUAGCCUAGUGGUAAGAGUGUAGGUAGGCGGCAGGUAGCCUAGUGGUAAGAGUGUAGGGACGGCAGGUAGCCUAGUGGUAAGAGUGUAGGGACGGCAGGUAGCCUAGUGGUAAGAGUGUAGGGACGGCAGGUAGCCUAGUG